rnacentral:rRNA from 1 species
GAUGAACGCUGGCGGCGUGCCUAAUACAUGCAAGUCGAGCGAACGGACGAGAAGCUUGCUUCUCUGAUGUUAGCGGCGGACGGGUGAGUAACACGUGGAUAACCUACCUAUAAGACUGGGAUAACUUCGGGAAACCGGAGCUAAUACCGGAUGAUAUUUUGAACCGCAUGGUUCAAAAGUGAAAGACGGUCUUGCUGUCACUUAUAGAUGGAUCCGCGCUGCAUUAGCUAGUUGGUAAGGUAACGGCUUACCAAGGCAACGAUGCAUAGCCGACCUGAGAGGGUGGUCGGCCACACUGGAUCUGAGACACGGUCCAGACUCCUACGGGAGGCAGCAGUAGGGAAUCUUCCGCAAUGGGCGAAAGCCUGACGGAGCAACGCCGCGUGAGUGAUGAAGGUCUUCGGAUCGUAAAACUCUGUUAUUAGGGAAGAACAUAUGUGUAAGUAACUGUGCACAUCUUGACGGUACCUAAUCAGAAAGCCACGGCUAACUACGUG